AAUACCUUAUGUGAUGUCCGCCGUCACAGUGAAAUGAAGAAGGCUUUCAGAGACGAUUUGUAGAUUCAAAGAAAGGAAGAUCAAGAAGAAGAAGAAGGUGUUAAAUCUAGGUUGUUUGAGUUAUUUCCAAAGAAGACUUACAAAUACAGAAUCACAAGAGAAAGAAAAGAGAAAAUAAAAUGGUUCAAUUUGGGUAUGAGCGGAAUCCGAAGUGGGGUUCUCAUCUGCUCGGGUUGCUUAUAUUCCUCCAAUUUUGAAUCAGAUUUCAAAAUUGGAGUUAAUACAAGCACAGAAGAGUCGCCAAGGGAAGUGAAAAUCCACAAGAGUUUAUGUCUAUAGUGCUGUUGACAUGUUUGUGCCCCCAGCAGCUGAAUCAAAUAGACAAAAAUGGUGAAACCAGAGAGGAAUUGGUAACCAUCAAUUUUCAAUUUCACUACUAGGUUUCUGGAGAAGCUAAUUAUACACCUGAAGAGCAAGCCAGUGAGUAUUGAUUCCAAAGCAGAAGCGGUGAAGAGAUAUAGGAGGUAGCACACUUGAAGCAAACAUGUCCUGGUUUGAUGAAGAUGCUUCAUGCUGCUUUGACAGGUGAAGAUCUUAUGCAAGUCAGUGAGUGCUAAUUCUAAAGCAGAAGCGGUGAAGAGAUAUAGGAGGUAGCACAGUGGAAACAAACAUGUCCUAAUCUGACGAAGAUGCUUGAUGCUGCUUUGACAGGAUAAGAUCAACGAGCGUGCAUAAGAGCAUUGAAGAGGAAACCACUCGCGGAGGAAGAAGUAUAUGUCAUGAAGCUUUGAUGAAAAAGUGGACUAAAUCCGAGCAAGAAGAUGUUGGCUGAUCUGAGACUUUUUGGGGUUGAAGAUGGGGGAGAGAGAGAGGAGCAGAGAGGGGUGGGCAACUGAAUCCGAGAGCACAAAUUCACAUUAUCAAGAAAUUGAAAUAGGAGAACGAACGUUUCACAUGUGGCAAUGGUACAUCAACAAGAUAUCAUGUGUCAACUCGAUAUAGAUUUAUCUCGACUACCAACCAAUGUCAUUAAUUUAUGCCUGAGUUGACGCAUAAGAUUAGGUUGUGGAUGUUUAUGUUGCAUGUGAAACGUUCGCCAUCUUCUUUCAAUUUCUUAUUUGUGUCAAUUUGUGAACUGGGCGAAUUUCAUCUUCUUGACUGCUAUUUCUAUUAGCUUUUGUUCUUACAGUGCCAUUCCUUUGGUCUUCAAGAAAGGCGAGGAGCGUUCUUUAGAUGCUAUUGCAGGACCUCAUUCACAGAAAUUCUCUAAGUAACAGGCUUUGUUAGACAUCCAAAACCAAGAGUCAUCUGUUGUCCUGGUCCUGUCUAAGGUCCCAUUUUAUAUCCCAUUAUGUCAGCUGUACAUCAGAAAUAACUUUGUUUUGUAAAUUAUCUGAUCUGAGCAAGCUCAGUAUCCUGCACAGGUGAAUCCACUAAUAGCUACCCAGAUUGUGACAAAAAUCCCAUUAGGGGUAUUUGGACUAGCAAGGGUAUUUGGACUAGCAGGAGGAUUUUAUGUUCCUUUAUAAUUUUAUGCUCUUUCUAA